rnacentral:tRNA from 1 species
GCGGGGGUACCAUAGCCAGGUCAAAUGGGCAGUUGGCUCACGACCCUGUGGCGAAGGCCUUCGUGGGUUCGAAUCCCACCCCCCGCACCA